UACAGAGGUCCCAAGCGUUGUUCGGAUUCACUGGGCGUAAAGGGUGCGUAGGCGGUCGGGUAAGUCUGAUGUGAAAUCUCACAGCUUAACUGUGAAACUGCAUUGGAUACUAUCCGGCUAGAGGAAUGGAGGGGAGACUGGAAUACUUGGUGUAGCAGUGAAAUGCGUAGAUAUCAAGUGGAACACCAGUGGCGAAGGCGAGUCUCUGGACAUUUCCUGACGCUGAGGCACGAAAGCCAGGGGAGCAAACGAG
rnacentral:rRNA from 1 species